rnacentral:rRNA from 1 species
AUGUGAAAGCCCACGGCUCAACCGUGGAGGGUCAUUGGAAACUGGAAAACUUGAGUGCAGAAGAGGAAAGUGGAAUUCCAUGUGUAGCGGUGAAAUGCGCAGAGAUAUGGAGGAACACCAGUGGCGAAGGCGACUUUCUGGUCUGUAACUGACGCUGAUGUGCGAAAGCGUGGGGAUCAAACAGGAUUAGAUACCCUGGUAGUCCACGCCGUAAACGAUGAGUGCUAAGUGUUAGGGGGUUUCCGCCCCUUAGUGCUGCAGCUAACGCAUUAAGCACUCCGCCUGGGGAGUACGACCGCAAGGUGAAACUCAAAGGAAUGACGGC